UCUGGUGACUUUGGCAAUGGGGAAACACCUCUUCCCAUUCCGAACAGAGAAGUUAAGCCCAUUAGCGCCAAUGGUACUUCCCCGUUUCCGGGGUGGUAGAGUAGGUCGUCACCAGGC
rnacentral:rRNA from 1 species